AUUGAACGCUGGCGGCAGGCCUAACACAUGCAAGUCGAGCGAGCGGCGGACGGGUGAGUAAUGUCUGGGCAACUGCCUGAUGGAGGGGGAUAACUACUGGAAACGGUAGCUAAUACCGCAUACCCUCAGAUGUGCCCAGCUGGGAUUAGCUAGUAGGUGGGGUAACGGCUCACCUAGGCGACGAUCCCUAGCUGGUCUGAGAGGAUGACCAGCCACACUGGAACUGAGAAACGGUCCAGAAUGCUACGGGAGGAAGCAGUGGGGAAUAUUGCACAAUGGGCGCAAGCCGGAUGCAGCCAUGCCGCGUGUAUGAAGAAGGCCUUCGGGUUGUAAAGUACUUUCAGCGGGGAGGCGUUACCCGCAGAAGAAGCACCGGCUAACUCCGUGCCAGCAGCCGCGGUAAUAC
rnacentral:rRNA from 1 species